GUUGCUGAAAAAAAGUAGUCCCUUCCUACACUGAUUCUGACCAUCUGGCUGGCUUUGGUUAAUGGGAUAUUAGAAAUGUGAUACAAACAGAGGGUUGAAAAGCAUUUGAGCAUUGGGGCUUGAUCUCUGGGUGCUCUCAGGAUCCUGCCAUCACCAAUACAUGGACAAGCUUUGAGUAUCCUACUGGUAGAAUGAAAGUCACAUGACCCAGCCACUCUUGUCACACAUGCCAAUAGCCAGCCUACUGCAAGAUGUGUGAGUGAGGCCAUCCAAGACCAGCCAAGCCCCAGUCAACUCAUCAAUUGACUGCAAACUCAUAAGCGAGCCUAGCUUGUAUCAUCUGAGUCCAGCCCAGGCCAGAAGAAUCCCUUAGCAGAACUGUGAGCUCAAUCAAUGGCUUGUUAUAUCACAAUAGAAAACUGAGACAAGGCGGGUGAUGAAUGAGUAACAGUAAACUUCCAGCAAACGUCGACUUCUCAGGAAGUAGCCAGAGCCACCAGCUUCCUCAAGAAAAGGAGAGAGAGAAUUCCUUCUCCACCAUGCAGAGGAACUUUACGUGACAGACACUGAGAUGCUGCUGUAGCCUCAGGAAGAAGGCAAUGGAGAGCUGGCUGGUGAUUCAUAUUAGAAUCACGUGGGGAGCUUCAACAAUACUACGGAUGUUCGUUGCUGGGCCACACUCUAGAUGAACUAAAUCUAGAAUUUGAAGCAUCCCCUGCCUCAGGAAGAAACCCAGAAGGUUCUGCAUGGGCAAGUAGGGUCAACGGUGCAGCUGACUGGAGCUGGCUGAGCCAAUGGUGCUGCUGUACUACAGUGUUUUCUGGGCUGUAUCAUCUGCAACCGGGGUUGGCCAGAGUGAGAGAACUCUGGGAGUCUCCACAGGAAGUGAAUAUUUCCUGACCAGCUCAUUCCUUGCUGCCUCUCCAACAUUUUCUUGUCUACAACUAAAACGUUUUGCCUUGUAUGUUCCCGCCCAAGGCCUCUUGAGACAGUGGGUGUUUUCUUCUUUCAUUUUCAACUCGUGCCAAAUGUGUCAGGAGUUAAGUCCAUAAUGCAUAGAUCUUGGCCCCGGAUCUUUCAGGGAUGUGGCCUCUCUUUCUGACACAGGCCGCACACUAACCAGAUGUGUCUGAAAGUCUGACCCUUUAAGAGAUCCUGGCUUGGUGCUUCUUUAUAAAUGAAAACCCUGUUAAGAGAG
rnacentral:lncRNA from 1 species